UCUUUGUGUGUGUGUGUGUGUGUGUGUGUGUGUGUGUGUGUGUGUGUGUGUGGAUCAGAGGGGCAGUGUGUGGCGCUCGGUGGGUGCCCUGGUGAGGUCAGAGUUCACAGUCCUGAUGGCCUGGGGAAAGAAACUCUGUCUCAGUCUCUCUGUUUUGGCAGCGUGGCUGCGGAGGCGCUUGCCUGACCGCAGCAGCUGGAACUGUCUGUGUUUGGGUUGUGAGAAUCCUUUCAUAAUCCAACAGGCUCUGGUUCUGCACCUCCUGGUGUUCAGGUCCUGUAGGGAGGGGAGUGUGGUUCCAGUAGUGCAUACUACUCUCUGCAGAGCCCUCCUGUCCUGCGCGGAGCUGUUGCCAAACCAGGCAGUGAUGCUACCUGUCAGGAUGCUCUCUACAGCUCCAGAGUAGAAAGACUGAAGGAUCCUCAGGGAGACUCUGAAUUUCUUCAGCUGUCGGAGGUGGUAAAGGCGCUGCCUGCCAGGCGCUGGAGUCAAAAACCUCGAAAUCAGUCUUUGGGAGUUGUUGGUGUCACUCUUUUCCUGCAUUUUUUUCAGCCACAUUACUAAUUGAGUCAUUCGUAAAUGACUAAAUACUGUAGUUAAUGUGAUGUCUGACACCAGAUGCCCACAAGUGAUGGGACAGGAGGAGGGAAACAACGAUUAUUCCUCUCUGGCACUCAUUUCUCCAAGGAUAGGAAGAUCUCCCUUAUUGCCAGUAGCACUUCCCAUAUGUAAGCAAGGAAAGAGAAUUACAGUCGACGUAAGAGAGACCACUCCUUGUUCCUCUGAGAAAUAGCAAAAAAAACAGUUCAAAUUGAUUCCCUAAAGGGUGUUGAUAUCUCGCCGUUGUUUCUCAA